AUCUGGUUGAUCCUGCCAGUAGUCAUACGCUUGUUUCAAAGAAUAAGCCAUGCAUGUGUAAGUAUAAAUAAUUUUACUUUGAAACUGCGAAUGGCUCAUUAUAUCAGUUAUAGUUUAUUAGAAAUACUUUACUACUUGGAUAACCGUAGUAAUUCUAGGGCUAAUACAUGAAUAAAUCCUCAACUUCGGAAGAGGUGUGUUUAUUAGUAUGAAAACCAUAUAUCUUCGGAUAUAAUAGUGAGUAAUAAUAACCUUUCAUAUCGUAUGUCGUAAGAUAACGAUAGUUCUUUCAAGUUUCUGCCCUAUCAGCUUUCGAUGGUAGUAUAUGGGACUACCAUGGCAGUAACGGGUAACGAAGAAUUUGGGUUCGAUUUCGGAGAGGGAGCCUGAGAGAUGGCUACCACAUCCAAGGAAGGCAGCAGGCGCGUAAAUUACCCAAUCCUGACAUAGGGAGGUAGUGACAAUAAAUCACAAUGCGGAACUAUUUAGUUUUGCAAUUGGAUUGAGAACAAUGUACAAAUGUUAUCGAUAAACAAUUGGAGGGCAAGUCUGGUGCCAGCAGCCGCGGUAAUUCCAGCUCCAAUACCGUAUAUUAACGUUGUUGCAGUUAAAAAGCUC
rnacentral:rRNA from 1 species